AUUGAACGCUGGCGGCAGGCCUAACACAUGCAAGUCGAACGAGUGGCGGACGGGUGAGUACUGUCUGGGAAACUGCCCGUUGGAGGGGGAUAACUACUGUAAACGGUAGCUAAGACCGCAUACCAUCGGAUGUGCCCAGAUGGGAGUGGCUUUGAGGUGAGGUAACGGCUCACCUGGGCGAAGAUCCCUAGCAGGUCUGAGAGGAGGACCAGCUACACUGGAACUGAGACACGGUCCAGACUCCUACGGUAGGCAGCAGUGGGGAAUCUUGCGCAAUGGGCGCAAGCCUGAUGCAGCCAUGCCGCGUGUAUGAAGAGGGCCUUCGGGUUGUAAAGUACUGUCAGCGGGGAGGCGUUACCCGAAGAAGAAGCACCGGCUAACUCCGUGCCAGCAGCCGCGGUAAUAG
rnacentral:rRNA from 1 species